GUGUAUUCAGUGAACUUUUAGUGUUGAGACUUAUUCAAUUGUAAACUGCUUUGCGCUAUUUCAAUAUAUGUGAUUCAUCUGUCAAGUAGCCGUCUGUUACAUUCAGUUUACUUGUUCUGAAUCUUAUUCUAAAAUUUCUCUCUAUUGUAGUCAGCUGAUUUGUCAUUUAAUUUUCAGUCUCUGUGUAGCUAUGUACCUGUGAUAUAAGUGUUUGUAAUGUGACCCAUAUCCAUUCUGCUAUAUGUGUUCACGUCUUGUUGUUCUCUUUGUGUUACUGUUUUAGUUUCUCAUGCAAAUAAAAAUAAUACCAAAAAUACAGUGAUGAUAAUCUGAACCUCCCUAUGCUAUUUUGCAUUUUCUUUUGUGACAAUCAUUGAUAGUUUAGGUUUAUUUUCUGUUUCCAUCUCCCAAUAUAGUGUCACCUAGCUUUAGCCGAGCGUAGCCGCUGAUCGCCUAGUCCCUGUGGAGAACACGACACUCGCAGUUUGGGCGUAAAAACCCCACUGUACCUACAAAUGAUCAUUUUGGCGCCGUUGCCGGGGAUUAGCGUCAAGCGUUUGUGUGAGGCUUUAGACUAGGUUUAGCUUGUUUCCUUUUUGUGCUUUAUAUAUUUGUGAUAUAUCUCUAGCCACUAACCCCUGUUCUAGUUAGUAUCUUUUUGUCUUCUUUUCCUUUUUGCAGGUUGGAUUAUCCUCUCGGUUAUGGCUUACUAUUCAGAUCAUCAGGCUUAUGCGAGCAACACUACAAACAGCAUGGAAAGUGUUCAAGAACUGAUAGGUAAGAUUUCCCAUCGAUUAGAUGAUUUAGCUCGGCAGCGAGAACGAGUUUUUGAGGAUAGGCCUAGUUCUUACGAUCCUUAUUCCAGAGGCCAUCCUUAUGUUGCUCCUACUUGCCAUAUUUGUGGAUUUCAGGGCCAUUCACCCGCUGAAUGUCAGCGUGGUUACUCUCACCCUCCCGAUUGUUAUGGCAUGAGCUUCGCCCCACAGCCUAGCUCAUACCAAAACAAUUACACACAUGGGUGGCCUGAAAACCAGAAUAUGUCAUAUAGGCGCAACAACCCUGAGAUCUCAUUGUUUGCCUCUAGUUAUCCAUUGCAGGGAUUCAGGUACAAUGAGGAGAACCACAACUAUGCUCCACAACAAAUUUAUUCAGCUCCUACUCAUAUACCUCAACACCAGGACAUGUUGCCAAUGGAGUUAAAUGGUCCUCCAUUUGGUCAACCAACAUCUUCAACACAAGUGCCCACACAAGAUGACUUCGAUGACAUAGACAAGCUCGCACUUUUGAGUCUCGAGUUCACUUGGAGUGCCGAGGAUGAUCCUAUUAGGAAGGUUAUACUAGAUGAAAUGAAGAAGAUCAAGAGUGGAAAAGAGCUAGUGGAAGAAGUAAGGAAGAUUGAGAAGAACAUCAACGCUGGUAGCACUAUUUCUUCAUAGUUUGAGCUGAGUGUUGCUGGGAUAUCCCUUGAUACAUGUGAGGUUCCAACACCGUCACAUCCAGCUGAGCAAGAUAGCGAGAGUCCAGAGGAAGAGAUACCUCAGAUUGAAGAAGAUGUAGUCGAAGCCAAGGCACAAGAUGAUCCAGAGCUCGAACAACAAAGUGAUCAAGUUGAAAACUCAUCAUCUAUUACUCUUGAAGAAGCAAAAGAAGUUGAUGUGAUUGAAGAUGAAGAACCAGAAACGCAUUUGCCCAUCGUCAUACAGGAUCGUGAUUUAGCAGGUUUAUCCAAUCCUCUUGAUGACAUGCUUCCUUAUGAGAUCUUUGCUGCUACUUUUCAUUGUGUUAUACCAUCAAUUAAGCUAGACUUGAAAAAUUAUUUGCUUGGACAUGAUCAUACAUACAUUGUUGGUGGCAUUGCUCUCAUUCCUGAUGAUGACACUUAUUUUCCUUAUGCUAGUCCUAUGCUUAAUGAAACAUAUUAUUCCCAUGCUAGUCUUGAGCUUAAUGAUAAAUUUCAUCCUCAUGUUAGUGUCGACCUUGCUGAUUUCUACCAUCCUAAACAUGUGUUUUAUAGCUAUGCUUAUGUAAUUGGAUAUUCGAUUGAUGACUUGGAGGGUAUUAUCCCUACCACUUGCAUUGUCUCUUUCGUUGAGUGCUCUUUCAGGUUUUUGCUUGUGCACUAUCCAUUACAUGCUGACCAGGUUCGAGGUGACAUUCCUUGGGACCCUGGUGAGCUCAGAGCAUGGGGAUGAGGAGAAGCGAGGGGGCACACACGAGGAAGGGAGAAGCUGGAGCAGGCAUGAGGAUAGAGAAGGAAAGGAGAAGAGUUGCAGUUUAGAGAGUGUCGAGCGAGUGCUACGUGAUCAAAGCCCGGUGAGAUGUUUCAUGACCCAUUCUGAAUAUCAUAAAUACAUGCUGAAUGAUAUUGCUAGUUGGGUUGCUUGAGCUAGUUAUUACUUGUUGUCAAGCUGAAAUUCACCUUUGGCAUUGUGCUUGAUGUGAAUUUGUGAACUUGAUUUCUGAAUGCCUUGUAAACUAGUGAUCUACAACAUGCAUGCUUUGCUGAAAUUUGUGGAAGUUAUUAGUUUUGAGUGCUCAAAUCCCUAGUACACUAGAAAACUUAAUCAUUGUUUGCUUUUACCUCGAUACACCUAGAUCACCAUGUUUAGAUGCUGAAUUUGUGCCAAGUGUCUUCCCAUUGAGAGCAAUCACCUAACCACUAUGGAUUAGCAUGCUAUGUUCCCUGGAUUGGUAGCAUGUGAACCAUACAUGGAGAAGUGAUGAUUCCUGUUUUUGUUCUUAUGCGUUGUUCAUUUAAGAUAAGUAAUAAUGAAUAAAUAAGUCUGGCUACCUACAGUAGCAUGUCAUGUUCCCGGGAUCGGUGGCAUGUGAAAUCAGGUUAGCUUGGGCAGUAAUUAAUAAUAAUAAUAGUAAUUGUCGAACCAGGUGUAUACAAUGUUCUCUGGAUCGGUGGUAUGUUUCUUUGGGGAGACAAACAAAAAAACUAAUAAUUAGUCAAGCCAGGUGUAUACCAUGUUCUCGGGAUCGGUGGUAUGUUCCUUUGGUGAGACUGAAAAUAUUAUCAUUACUUCCUUCAAAUUUAAUAAGUGGUUCAACCACAAUGUUAUAUUUCCGCAAAUAAGUGAUUUAAUUCAAGUUCCUUUUGUUCUCAGGAUCAUGCUCUCUUUAGGAACCUUUUUCCAUGGUCAACAUUUGAACUUGCUAAUCUUUGUUUACCAUUGCAAAAGUUUAAAAUGGUCGAGUUUACUAGUGUCCUAUUGAUAUGUAGCACUCUUAACCAUUAAUUUUCACUAGGCAAGUCCAAAGCAUGCACUGUUUAGAGAUCUACUUCACUUGACAUUCUCUAGUCAGUUCACUAUUCAUGUUCUUGCUUUUGUCAUAUGCCUUUGCUUGAGGACAAGCAAAGAUUUAAGUGCGGGGGAACUUGAUAAGCACAUUUCAUAUAUAUAAUUUUGGCACACAAACACACCAUUUAUUGUGAUCCGACGAUCCACUCUUGCUGUGAACUAUGAUAUAUUUGAAUGAAAAUCAUAUAAAAGAUCAUUUACUCGUCAUUUGAUUAUUUUGCAGAAAAGUGCGCAAAGGCACUAUAAUCUUCAAGAUUCAGACGAAUUGGCCAUUGAGAAGAGAGAAGGGCAGGAAAGAGGUGAAGAAAGGGACCCGAGCAUGAAGGAAAGAAGAAACCGGGGGGCCAAAACUAAAGAUGGAGGGGAUCGACUUGGGAAGAAAGAAGGAAAGGAGGAGGGCCAAAUUGCAAUAUGGGCUGAUCAACCGUGGGGUCAAAAUCCCUAGAUGCCUUCAUCCCCAAAUCGGGCCUAGCACAUCUCUCUCUCCCUAACCCUUCCUUCUCCAACUCCGGCCGCCGCCACGGCCAGGCCGGCGUGGUGGUGCGCCAGCAGCCUCCAUCCACUACACCAACAGCACCCAGUACCACCAUCACCUCCAUCCACCAGCGCCACACCACCCAUCCACCUCUCCCUGCUGCUUCCCCUUGCUACUCACGCCCUGGACCAGCCAUUGGGGUCGCCGGCAUCUGAUCCCCCACGCGCCAUCAACUCCUCCGCACGCCUCCACUAGCUCCACCACGCCAUCUCCACCACCCACCACACGCCACCAAAUCCAUCCACCAUCAGCACCAUCUGCAGCCACCGUUGCACCUCACGCGCCCGACUAGACAAGAGGGUCACGGGCGUCUGGUCCUCCGCGUGAGCACUCGUGUGCUGCUGAUCUUCUUCUCCUUCCCCGCUGCUGCUUCUUCCCUUCACGCUACUGCUGCUGUCUUUCUUGCGUUCAUGUUACUGCUCCUCUGAAAUUUUGCGUGCUGCUGCUGUUGCCCCAUCUCUGCUCCUCCUCCUCUUAAAACUGUUGCUGCUCUUCUUUCCCACGUUCCUGCUCUGCACUCUGCUUCUCACCUCUGUUGCUAUUGUCUCUCUUCUAAACCUCUCCUACUGUUCAGCUCUGAACCAUCUCUGUUGUUUUUCUUCUUUACCAAACCAAACCUACUGCUGUUCUGUGUGUGUGUGAGCCUGUGUGCGUGUGUAUUCAGUGAACUUUUAGUGUUGAGACUUAUUCAAUUGUAAACUGCUUUGCGCUAUUUCAAUAUAUGUGAUUCAUCUGUCAGGUAGCCGUCUGUUACAUUCAGUUUACUUGUUCUGAAUCUUAUUCUAAAAGUGCUCUCUAUUGUAGUCAGCUGAUUUGUCAUUUAAUUUUCAGUCUCUGUGUAGCUAUGUACCUGUGAUAUAAGUGUUUGUAAUGUGACCCAUAUCCAUUCUGCUAUAUGUGUUCA
rnacentral:lncRNA from 1 species